rnacentral:rRNA from 1 species
GCGGACGGGUGAGUAACGCGUGAGAAUCUGCCCUCAGGACGGGGACAACAGCUGGAAACGGCUGCUAAUACCCGAUGUGCCGAGAGGUGAAACAUUUAUGGCCUGAGGAUGAGCUCGCGUCUGAUUAGCUAGUUGGUGGGGUAAAAGCCUACCAAGGCGACGAUCAGUAGCUGGUCUGAGAGGAUGAUCAGCCACACUGGGAAUGAGACACGGCCCAGACUCGUACGGGAGGCAGCAGUGGGGAAUUUUCCGCAAUGGGCGCAAGCCUGACGGAGCAAGACCGCGUGCGGGAGGACGGCCUAUUGGUUGUAAACCGCUUUUGAUAGGGAAGAAGUUCUGACGGUACCUAUCGAAUCAGCAUCGGCUAACUCCGUGCCAGCAGCCCCGGUAAUACGGAGGAUGCAAGCGUUAUCCGGAAUUAUUGGGCAGUAAAGCGUCCGUAUCGUGGUUGUUCAAGUCUGCUGUUAAAGGCGUGCGGCUUAACCUGCAUACCACGCACGUGGAAACUGGGCAACUAGAGUGCGGUAGGGGUCAGGGGAAUUCCCAGUGUAGCGGUGAAAUGCGUAGAUAUUGGGAAGAACACCGGUGGCGAAAGCGCCUGACUGGACCUGCACUGACACUGAGGGACGAAAGUAGGGG